AGGUAGAUAGAGGUAGAUAGAGGUAGAUAGAGGGAUAGAGGUAGAUAGAAUUAGAUAGAGGGAUAGAGGUAGAUAGAGGGAUAGAGGUAGAUAGGGGGAUAGUGGUAGAUAGAUGGAUAGAGGUAGAUAGAUGGAUAGAGGUAGAUAGAGGUAUAGAGGUUGAUAGAGGUAGAUAGAGGGAUAUAGGUAGAUAGAGGUAGAUAGAGGGAUAUAGGUAGAUAUAGGGAUAGAGGUAGAUAGAGAGAUAGAGGUAGAUAGAGGGAUAGAGGUAGAUAGAGGGAUAUAGGGAUAGAGGUAGAUUGAGGUAGAUAGAGGUAGAUAGAGGUAGAGGGAUAAAGGUAGAUAGAGGGAAAGAGGUAGAUAGAGGUAGAUAGAGGGAUAGAGGUAGACAGAUGUAGAUAGAGGUAGACAGAGGUAGAUAGAGGGAUAGAGGUAGAUAGAGGGAUAGAGGUAGACAGAGGUAGAUUGAGGUAGAUAGAGGGAUAGAGGUAGAUAGGGGGAUAGUGGUAGAUAGAGGUAGAGAGAGGUAGAUAGGGUGAUAGAGGUAUAGAGAUGGAUAGAGUGAUAGAGGUAGAUAGAGGGAUUGAGGUAGAUAGAGGUAGAUAGGGGGAUAGUGGUAGAUAGAGGUAGAUAGGGUGAUAGAGGUAUAGAGAUGGAUAGAGUGAUAGAGGUAGAUAGGGUGAUAGAGGUAGAUAUAGGGAUACAGGGAUAGAGGUAGAUAGAGGGAUAGAGGUAGAACGAGGGACAGAGGUAGAUAGAGGGAUAGAGGUAGAUAGAAUUAGAUAGAGGUAGAUAGGGGGAUAGUGGUAGAUAGAGGGAUAGAGGUAGAUAGAUGGAUAGAGGUAGAUAGAGGGAUAGAGGUAUAGAGGUAGAUAGAGGUAGAUAGAGGUUGAUAGAGGUAGAUAUAGGUAGAUAGAGAGAUAGAGGUAGAUAGAGGGAUGGGGUAGAGAGAGGGAUAGAGGUAGAUAGAGGCAUAGAGGUAGAUAGAGGGAUAGCAGUAGAGAGAGGGAUAGAGGUAGAUAGAGGUAGAUAGAGGGAUAGAGGUAGAUAGAGGGAUAGAGGUAGCUAGAUGGAUAGAGGUAGAUAGUUGUUGAUAGAGGGAUAUAGGUAGAUAGAGGGAUAGAGGUAGAUAGAGGGAUAGAGGUAGAUAGAGGUAGAUAGAGGUAGAUAAAGGUAGAUAGAGGUAGAUAGAGGGAUAGAGGUAGAUGGUAGAUAGAGGGAUAAAGGUAGAUAGAGGGAAAGAGGUAGAUAGAGGGAUAGAGGUAGACAGAGGUAGAUAGAGGGAUAUAGGUAGAUAGAGGUAGGUAGAGGGAUAGAGGUAGAUAGAGGUAGAUAGAGGGAUAUAGGUAGAUAGAGGGAUAGAGGUAGAUAGAGGGAUAGAGUUAGAUAGAGGUAGAUAGAGGUAGAUAAAGGUAGAUAGAGGGAUAGAGGUAGAUGGUAGAUAGAGGGAUAAAGGUAGAUAGAGGGAAAGAGGUAGAUAGAGGUAUAGAGGUAGAUAGAGGGAUAGAGGUAGAUAGAGGGAUAGAGGUAGACAGAGGUAGAUAGAGGGAUAGAGGUAGAUAGAGGGAUAGAGGUAGACAGAGGUAGAUUGAGGUAGAUAGAGGGAUAGAGGUAGAUAGGGGGAUAGUGGUAGAUAGAGGUAGAGAGAGGUAGAUAGGGUGAUAGAGGUAUAGAGAUGGAUAGAGUGAUAGAGGUAGAUAGAGGGAUUGAGGUAGAUAGAGGUAGAUAGGGGGAUAGUGGUAGAUAGAGGUAGAUAGGGUGAUAGAGGUAUAGAGAUGGAUAGAGUGAUAGAGGUAGAUAGGGUGAUAGAGGUAGAUAGAGGUUGAUAGAGGGAUAGAGGUAGAUAGAGAGAUAGAGGUAGAUAGAGGGAUGGGGUAGAGAGAGGGAUAGAGGUAGAUAGAGGCAUAGAGGUAGAUAGAGGGAUAGCGGUAGAGAGAGGGAUAGAGGUAGAUAGAGGUAGAUAGCGGGAUAGAGGUAGCUAGAUGGAUAGAGGUAGAUAGAUGGAUAGAGGUAGAUAGAGGGAUAGAGGUAGAUAGGGGGAUAGAGGUAGAUAGAGGGAUAGAGGUAGAUAGAGGGAUAGAGGUAGAUAGAGGGAUAGAGGGAUGGAGGGAUAGAGGUAGGUAGAAAGAGAGAGGUAAGGGAUAGAGGGAUAGAGGUAGAUAGAGGGACAGAGGUAGAUAGAGGAUAGAGGUAGAUAGAUGGAUAGAGGUAGGUAGAGGUUGAUAGAGGGAUAUAGGUAGAUAGAUGGAUAGAGGUUGAUAGAGGUCGAUAGAGGGAAAGAGGUCGAUAGAGGGAUAGAGGUAGAUAGAGGUAGAUAUAGGGAUAGAGGUAGAUUGAGGUAGAUAGAGGGAUAGAGGUAGAUAGAGGUAGACAGAGGAAUAUAGGUAGAUAUAGGGAUAGAGGUAGAUAUAGGGAUAGAGGUAGAUAGAGGUAGAUAGAGGUAGAUAGAGGUAUAGAGGUAGAUAGAGGUAGAUAGAGGUAGAUAGAGGGAUAGAGGUAGAUAGAGGGAUAGAGGUAGUUAGAGGGAUAGAGGUAGAUAGAGGGAUAUAGGUAGAUGGAGGGAUAGAGUUAGAUAGAGGUAGAUAGAGGUAGCUAAAGGUAGAUAGAGGAAUAGAGGUAGAUAGAGGGAUAGAGGUAGAUAGAGGGAUGAAGGUAGAUAGAGGUAUAGAGGUAGAUAGAGGUAGAUAGAAGUAUAGAGGUAGAUAGAGGUAGAUAGAGGGAUAGAGGUAGAUAGAGGGAUAGAGGUAGAUAGAGGGAUAGAGGUAGAUAGAGGUAGAUAGAGGGAUAGAGGUAGA